rnacentral:rRNA from 1 species
AGUGAACGCUGGCGGUAGGCCUAACACAUGCAAGUCGAACGGCAGCACAGUAAGAGCUUGCUCUUACGGGUGGCGAGUGGCGGACGGGUGAGGAAUACAUCGGAAUCUACUUUUUCGUGGGGGAUAACGUAGGGAAACUUACGCUAAUACCGCAUACGACCUACGGGUGAAAGCAGGGCAUCUUCGGACCUUGCGCGAUUGAAUGAGCCGAUGUCGGAUUAGCUAGUUGGCGGGGUAAAGGCCCACCAAGGCGACGAUCCGAAGCUGGUCUGAGAGGAUGAUCAGCCACACUGGAACUGAGACACGGUCCAGACUCCGACGGGAGGCAGCAGUGGGGAAUAUUGGACAAUGGGCGCAAGCCUGAUCCAGCCAUACCGCGUGGGUGAAGAAGGCCUUCGGGUUGUAAAGCCCUUUUGUUGGGAAAGAAAAGCAGCAGGUUAAUACCCCGCUGUUCUGACGGUACCCAAAGAAUAAGCACCGGCUAACUUCGUG